rnacentral:rRNA from 1 species
UACGAAGGGUGCAAGCGUUACUCGGAAUUACUGGGCGUAAAGCGUGCGUAGGUGGUUUGUUAAGUCUGAUGUGAAAGCCCUGGGCUCAACCUGGGAAUGGCACUGGAUACUGGCAAGCUAGAGUGCGGUAGAGGAUAGUGGAAUUCCUGGUGUAGCAGUGAAAUGCGUAGAGAUCAGGAGGAACAUCCGUGGCGAAGGCGACUGUCUGGACCAGCACUGACACUGAGGCACGAAAGCGUGGGGAGCAAACAGGAUUAGAUACCCUGGUAGUCCACGCCCUAAACGAUGCGAACUGGAUGUUGGGUGCAAUUUGGCACUCAGUAUCGAAGCUAACGCGUUAAGUUCGCCGCCUGGGGAGUACGGUCGCAAGACUGAA